rnacentral:rRNA from 1 species
UUAGGAAUCUUCCACAAUGGGCGAAAGCCUGAUGGAGCGACGCCGCGUGAGGGAUGAAGGCCUUAGGGUUGUAAACCUCUAAAAGAGGGACGAUAAUGACGGUACCUCUUGAAUAGCACCGGCUAACUCCGUGCCAGCAGCCGCGGUAAUACGGAGGGUGCAAGCGUUAUCCGGAAUCACUGGGCGUAAAGGGCGCGUAGGCGGUCUGUUAAGUCCGAUGUUAAAUCCCGGGGCUCAACCCCGGAUAAGCGUUGGAUACUGGCAGGCUGGACGUGGGAGAGGCGAGUGGAAUUACCAGUGUAGCGGUGGAAUGCGUAGAUACUGGUAGGAACACCCAUUGCGAAGGCAGCUCGCUGGACAACACGUGACGCUGAGGCGCGAAAGUGUGGGGAGCAAACC